rnacentral:rRNA from 1 species
AUGCAAGUCGAGCGGUAGCACAGAGAGCUUGCUCUCGGGUGACGAGCGGCGGACGGGUGAGUAAUGUCUGGGAAACUGCCUGAUGGAGGGGGAUAACUACUGGAAACGGUAGCUAAUACCGCAUAAUGUCGCAAGACCAAAGUGGGGGACCUUCGGGCCUCAUGCCAUCAGAUGUGCCCAGAUGGGAUUAGCUAGUAGGUGGGGUAACGGCUCACCUAGGCGACGAUCCCUAGCUGGUCUGAGAGGAUGACCAGCCACACUGGAACUGAGACACGGUCCAGACUCCUACGGGAGGCAGCAGUGGGGAAUAUUGCACAAUGGGCGCAAGCCUGAUGCAGCCAUGCCGCGUGUGUGAAGAAGGCCUUCGGGUUGUAAAGCACUUUCAGCGGGGAGGAAGGCGAUAAGGUUAAUAACCUUGUCGAUUGACGUUACCCGCAGAAGAAGCACCGGCUAACUCCGUGCCAGCAGCCGCGGUAAUACGGAGGGUGCAAGCGUUAAUCGGAAUUACUGGGCGUAAAGCGCACGCAGGCGGUCUGUCAAGUCGGAUGUGAAAUCCCCGGGCUCAACCUGGGAACUGCAUUCGAAACUGGCAGGCUAGAGUCUUGUAGAGGGGGGUAGAAUUCCAGGUGUAGCGGUGAAAUGCGUAGAGAUCUGGAGGAAUACCGGUGGCGAAGGCGGCCCCCUGGACAAAGACUGACGCUCAGGUGCGAAAGCGUGGGGAGCAAACAGGAUUAGAUACCCUGGUAGUCCACGCCGUAAACGAUGUCGAUUUGGAGGUUGUGCCCUUGAGGCGUGGCUUCCGGAGCUAACGCGUUAAAUCGACCGCCUGGGGAGUACGGCCGCAAGGUUAAAACUCAAAUGAAUUGACGGGGGCCCGCACAAGCGGUGGAGCAUGUGGUUUAAUUCGAUGCAACGCGAAGAACCUUACCUGGUCUUGACAUCCACAGAACUUACCAGAAAUGCUUUGGUGCCUUCGGGAACUGUGAGACAGGUGCUGCAUGGCUGUCGUCAGCUCGGGUUGGGAAAUGUUGGGUUAAGUCCCGCAACGAGCGCAACCCUUAUCCUUUGUUGCCAGCGGUCCGGCCGGGAACUCAAAGGAGACUGCCAGUGAUAAACUGGAGGAAGGUGGGGAUGACGUCAAGUCAUCAUGGCCCUUACGACCAGGGCUACACACGUGCUACAAUGGCAUAUACAAAGAGAAGCGACCUCGCGAGAGCAAGCGGACCUCAUAAAGUAUGUCGUAGUCCGGAUUGGAGUCUGCAACUCGACUCCAUGAAGUCGGAAUCGCUAGUAAUCGUAGAUCAGAAUGCUACGGUGAAUACGUUCCCGGGCCUUGUACACACCGCCCGUCACACCAUGGGAGUGGGUUGCAAAAGAAGUAGGUAGCUUAACCUUCGGGAGGGCGCUUACCACUUUGUGAUUCAUGA